rnacentral:rRNA from 1 species
GAUUGAACGCUGGCGGCAUGCCUAACACAUGCAAGUCGAACGGUAACAGGGGGCUUCGGCCCGCUGACGAGUGGCGGACGGGUGAGUAACGCGUAGGAAUCUUCCCAGUAGCGGGGGAUAGCUCGGCGAAAGCCGGAUUAAUACCGCAUACGCCCCACGGGGGAAAGCAGGGGAUCGUGAGACCUUGCACUAUUGGAUGAGCCUACGUCUGAUUAGCUAGUUGGUAGGGUAAAANCCACCAAGGCGACGAUCAGUGGCUGGUCUGAGAGGACGAUCAGCCACACUGGGACUGAGACACGGCCCAGACUCCUACGGGAGGCAG